AGAUAGAAAAGUUCCCUCUGCAAAUGAGGGGACAGACCACUCUUCUGAAGGAAGCUCAGACAUGUAUUUGUGGAUUUCACAAGGUUCAUCCACCAGUCACAGUGGAAGCAUCACAGAGCACCCCGGCCCAAAGCACACCCUCUGUCAGUGAUGUGUCAUGUCCUGCAAAGAGAGCUAAACUAACAUUGUCAAUGUUUGAAAAGUCAAGGUUUGGAGGCUCACAUGUGGCAGCAGCAAAACCUAAUUUGAGCACCCAGAGGAAAACCUCUCAAAU